UGGAAUGAGCGGCGGACGGGUGAGUAACACGUAAGGAACCUGCCUCAAGGAUUGGGAUAACUCCGAGAAAUCGGAGCUAAUACCGGAUAGUUCAACGGACCGCAUGGUCCGCUGAUGAAAGGCGCUCCGGCGUCACCUUGAGAUGGCCUUGCGGUGCAUUAGCUAGUUGGUGGGGUAACGGCCCACCAAGGCGACGAUGCAUAGCCGACCUGAGAGGGUGAUCGGC
rnacentral:rRNA from 1 species